AACGAACGUUAGCGGCGCGCUUAACACAUGCAAGUCGAGCGAGAAAGGGUUUCGGCCCCGGUAAAGCGGCGCACGGGUGAGUAAUACGUAGGUAAUCUGCCCCCAGGUGGUGGAUAACCC
rnacentral:rRNA from 1 species